UCCCUGAUAGCUCAGUUGCUAAAGAAUCCGCCUGCAAUGCGGGAGACCUGGGUUCAAUCCCUGGGUUGGGAA
rfam:TPA: Bos taurus chromosome X, whole genome shotgun sequence.